UGGGGAAUCUUGCACAAUGGGGGCAACCCUGAUGCAGCGACGCCGCGUGAGCGAUGAAGCCCUUCGGGGCGUAAAGCUCUUUCGACCGGAACGAUAAUGACGGUACCGGGAGAAGAAGCUGCGGCUAACUACGUGCCAGCAGCCGCGGUAAUACGUAGGCAGCAAGCGUUGUUCGGAGUUACUGGGCGUAAAGAGUGCGUAGGCGGUUUUCUAAGUUCGGUGUGAAAUCUCCCGGCUUAACUGGGAGGGUGCGCCGAAGACUGGGAAGCUGGAAUGUGGGCAAGGCAGGCGGAAUUCCUGGUGUAGCGGUGAAAUGCGUAGAUAUCAGGAGGCACACCGGCGGUGUAGACGGCUUGCUAGACCAUAACUGACGCUGAGGCACGAAAGCGUGGGUAGCAAACA
rnacentral:rRNA from 1 species